AGAGCCCGGGAGCCGCCGGAGGCAGCUGCGCAUCAGCGGACUCGCGGCCCGGGUCGGAGCCCGGUGAGUGGUGCCAAGAGGUGGCGGCGAGUCGGAACCUUGGGGAGAGCCGCGAGUCAGACGGCGGCGGGUGCCUGGGAGGUGCGAGUCGACCUGUGUUCGGCUGUGGUUUUCCCGCCAUGCCUCUUCUCCUCCACAAGAAGAAAUCGGUACAGACACGCAGAGGGGAGGGCAUGUGAGGACAUGGGAAGGAAAUGCCACUUGCAAGCCAAGGAGAGAGGCCUCAGAAGAAACCAGCCCUCCUGACACCUUGAUCCUAGACUUCCAGCCUCCAGAACUACUUUUCUGUUUUGUUUUUUAGCCUAAAUGCUAUUGAAAAGAGCAGAGAAGAUAGAGUGCAGGCCCCUAGAGACAGGAUGGAACGAAACACGCAGUGUGCAUCUGUGUCCUGCUCAGCAUACGCUCUUGGUCCCCACUGGGCCAUCUCGCUGCUGACUGGCAUCCCGAAGAACAGGCAGAUUGCACAGGGGCAGCUCUUUCCUCCAAAGCUGCAAUGUGGUGCAUGAAGUCCUCAGAUUUGGGAACUCAUACAGGCACUUGAGCUCAAACAUACAGUUCUGAUCUAAGACAUCACAGUCUCAGCACUCUGAAGAAGCGUGCUUGUGAGCGCCGCGGGACGAUCCAGGAUGUCCAGGAUUGUGGACGAUCCUGUUCUUCCCAUCUGUGAGGCCUCCUGUGGACUCCCAGAAUGUAAAGUCAGCAUUCCCUUGAGCCUUUUGGGGACUUAUAAGCACAUGGCCCAAGGUCCACCUAACUCUAGGUGUAUCCUGUAGAACCAGUAUUCUAAUCCUAACUUUAAAGAUCUUACAGGACCAUAGGGUGUGCGUAAAAAGCCUGCUGCAAAUCAGAGUGCUUCAACUGCGUAUUAAUGAGAUGGAGGAAAGAGGCUGUGAGUGCAGACAAUGAGUCCCUGAGUAAAUAGACUCCAGAGCCAAAGGUGUUCUCCACACCGAAAGAAUGACUGUACCCAGGGAAGGAGCUCAGACUCACCUGGACAAACCCUGAGGGGACAGCCAUGUUCCAGUGUGGCUAGGAGGGUCUGGAGCUGGGCACGUCCCCCAUGUCUGCUUGAUUCCCCUCUGGCCGAGUUCUACUCAGAUAAGGAAACUGACAAAGCCAGGUGGCCUGUGGCUGAGGAGCGAGACGGUCAGCGAGGUCUCCCUGCUGCACUCUCGUGCACUUCCACAGUGAAACCCUGCUGAGAGACACAGGAAAUGUUGAACAUAGUGUCUUUAAAAUUAAGACUAUGACUGCCCUAAACAUUUACAAAGCACAAACCAUGAGAAAAAAGCCUGUACCAGAAAUCAGAAGAUGGCUUUUGUCCAUGUGCAACCUUGGACAAGUUAAUUACUUAUCGCUGCUCUCUGAGCCCGUUUCCCCACUGGUUACCGAAAAAAUAGAAAAGGAUAUGCCUGCCCUUCCUAAUUCACAGGGCAUCGCAGGGAGGUAGGUAGUUAAUAUGCUGAACCACUUCAAAACGGUGGAGCUGAACUCACAGCAGGAACCCUGUCACACCUUUCCAUGACAAGGAUAUCAGUGGGGUGAGGGAGGUGGGGAGAGGCAUGAGGAUGGGAGACAAAGGAGUGGGGUGGGGGGCGGGGGAAGGAGGAAGCCAGAAGGACAGGCCCAGGCUAGGCUCUGAAGUCAGCAGGUGAGCGAGGUAGAGAACUAGCAGCACCACUGUCCAUGGAUAUUUGCGGUGAUGGAAAUGUACUGUAUCCAUGUUCUCCAAUAUGGCAGCCACUAGCCACAUGUGGCUAUCAAGCGCUAGAAAUGUAGCUAGUGUGAUCGAGGAACUGAUCUUUAAUUUUUCUUUAAUUGUUAUUAAUUUCCAUUUAAAUAGCCACAUGUGGCCAGUGGCUUAUGUAGCAAAGAUCUAGAUCAUUUGUUUGAAGCAGUAAAAAGAGAAAUGUGAAUCCCCUCUUCUUACCUCCUAUAACAUGCUAAUUAACAUCACUGCAAUUAACCACCAUUCACAGCUCUUCAGCUGCUCUGUGGAACCUCAGCCCACUCUGAAAUGAACAGCCGCAGUGGCAGGGGUUACAGAAUGGGCUGGGAGUGGCAAUGUAGAUUUAUCUCUUCACACACUCUAUGCCCUCUAUCAAAAAUGCCUCAGGCUGUGUAAAAUUCCACAAAUAAUAAAGAGAUUUUAAAAA